rnacentral:tRNA from 1 species
GUCAAGAUAGCUCAGUUGGUAGAGCAAUGGAUUGAAAAUCCAUAGGUCACCAGUUCAAAGCUGGUUUUUGACA